rnacentral:rRNA from 2 species
GACCGGUUUACUGGUCGUGCUUUUGUACGUACUGGUAUAAUCGGUUUCUCCUUUCUGACGAACUAUAAUGCCAUUAAUUUGGUGUUAUAGGGAAUCAGGACUGUUACUUUGAAAAAAUUAGAGUGUUUAAAGCAGGCUCACGCUUGAAUACAUUAGCAUGGAAUAACGGAAUAGGACGUUUGAUUCUAUUUUGUUGGUUUCUAGGAUCGACGUAAUGAUUAAUAGGGAUAGUUGGG